CCUACGGGUGGCAGCAGUGAGGAAUAUUGGUCAAUGGACGCAAGUCUGAACCAGCCAUGCCGCGUGCAGGAAGACGGCUCUAUGAGUUGUAAACUGCUUUUGUACGAGGGUAAACGCAGAUACGCGUAUCUGUCUGAAAGUAUCGUACGAAUAAGGAUCGGCUAACUCCGUGCCAGCAGCCGCGGUAAUACGGAGGAUUCAAGCGUUAUCCGGAUUUAUUGGGUUUAAAGGGUGCGUAGGCGGUCGGAUAAGUUAGAGGUGAAAUCCCGAGGCUCAACUUCGGAAUUGCCUCUGAUACUGUUCGGCUAGAGAGUAGUUGCGGUAGGCGGAAUGUAUGGUGUAGCGGUGAAAUGCUUAGAGAUCAUACAGAACACCGAUUGCGAAGGCAGCUUACCAAGCUACUUCUGACGUUGAGGCACGAAAGCGUGGGGAGCGAACAGGAUUAGAUACCCCUGUAGUC
rnacentral:rRNA from 1 species